rnacentral:misc_RNA from 1 species
GUCCCAGAAUUUAGAAUCUUGAACAUGAGGAGAUCGGAAAACAAAAUACAAAAUCAAAUGGUUCGAAAAUUAAUCAAAACGAGUUGGAGAGAUCGGAAAACACUUAGUUUGAGCGCACUUUGAAGAUUAUCAUUUAUCUGGGAGGUUACUAGCUCAAAGAAAAUGACUUGGGGUCGGAUAACUAGUUGAGAUCGAUUAAACGCCUACUAGGGGGAUCGACAUAAUUGCAAUUAUUUGAACUACGAUUUUGAAGAAUGACCAAAAUAUGGUGUCUACAAACAUCCACCAUUUUAUUCCAAAUAUUGUUACAGCCUAGUGCCUUAAUCAUCAAGGAAUGAUGGAUUCGAUAAUAGGUCCUUCCUGUGGAUUUGGAAAGGGUAUUGAUGGUGGCAGUGGCGGAAGUGGUUGAGCUUGGGGAGUAUUUGUCCUCUCCUCAGUUUUUGUCUUUGAUACCCCAGCAUUCUCCCUGAGCUUUUCGAGCUUCUGCAUUAUCUUUUUCUUCAUAUCAAGUCUCCCAACACGAGCUUCCGCUGGUUCUACCGCAGAGAGAACGAUGAUUCCACCUAAAGUUUCAGCUGUAAGAUAUAGCAAUGCAUCUCUCCGUGAAACGUUCAGUGUUUUUGGUGCUUGCAGUGUCUCCUCUUUCAAUCUUACCACCUACAACAGAGGCGAAAAAAGAAAAGAACCUCACAUACAAGGGGAUAGAUCAUGUGAAAAUGAAUCCAGCAUCCAGCACAAGCUUGAUACUCAUUCCACUACACUAUCCAUAUUUUUUUUCUUUACAAUUAUAUUUAUAAUUUAAAUUGGGACAAAUAAGGACCCUUUUUACUUUCACGAACGCAGUUCAAAGGUGUUAUGAUUCCCAUAAAGAAGACAACUAAUGAUACUGAAUCUUGACAAGAUCACAUUUCAUGCGACCCAUCUGUUACAAUAAUCUUGCAAUCAAAUAGAAAAUAGUUCCUUGGAACUCAAGACCAUAUACAGCUUCAAUAAUAGAAUACCAGCAGCCAAUCAAACCUAAGGUAAAAGCUCUUCAAUCAACAUGCAUUUAUAGGCAAAAAGAAAUCAACUUGAGCAAUCCAAAUAUUUUGAAAACUCAAAAUAAAAUCAACUGAGCAACCCAAAUAUGGCAUAUUCUAUUUCUAGAACUGGGUUUCAAAGUGAAGCAAAAACACCUGAAUCACUGGCCGCUUGAUGGCAGGUAAUCUUCCUUCUGUAGUUAUGUGGUGGAGUGGGUUCCUUACGCCCUUCGAAUUUGAGAAUGCCAUGAGUUACGGCGGAGAUCGCUGGGAAAACCACCUGAGCUGAGCUAAUCUUCUCUUCUUGCACUCAGGUCAGAAACACAGGGCACCUUACCAAAUGUGGCGAAAGGGCGGGGGACUUUUCUUGGUGGGAUUGGUUUGGAGAGAUCACACUGACAAAACCCACAAAUAAUUUGGAUUUCAGAGGUAGAAGUUGGGCUGGGCUAGCCUUACCAGUUACCAGGCUUUCCGCAUGUAAUGAAAGGGAUCAUACCUGUGAAAAUCUUCAGCCAAUUAUUUUCUUCUUUUUACUCUACAAUUGCCCAUAUUAAGAAUAUUGCAAGUUGUAGGUUAUAUUCAGAGAGAGUGUUUGUUUAACUUAUAAACUGAUCAAAUUAAUUUAUAAAUUAUAAUUUUAAACAAAUUUGUUUAUACUCUACCUUCAUGAAAAUUGUGUUUAAUUAAAGUGAUUUCUUAAUUGAAAUAACUAUAUUUAUUAUUAUAUUUUUAUUAUGAAAAAAAUAAGAAAAACAUAAAUAAAUCAAACAAUCCCUCAAGUUAAAUGCUAGUGAUAUAGAAAAUGGAUUGAACCUAACUUUAUCUCAAAGCUAACCGAGGAGGUUUGUCUAAGUUUUAUAAUAAACUCAAAUAUUUUAUUUCGAACAACGUAGGACAACACACUCUCUAUGCCCAAGUAUGAAUAUCUAGAAUAUGAAAUUUAAAGAUAGCUCAAGAAAAAAAUUUAUUUAAAUAAUAUUUAGCUCAAAUAUUUUAUUUCAAAUCAAUGUAGUACAACAUUGGCGGCAAUUAGACUUGCUUGGUGGGUUGCCUAAUUUAUCUUGGCAAAUUUGUAAAGAUAAUAUCAUUAUUCAAGGCAUUAUUAUAUAACAACUUCGAUAGACGACAUGCGUAUUUUGUUUUGCUUAAGAAAAUAAAAACUAAACAAUUUAUCAUAUUUUUAAAAUAAAUUUGCAUAAAGAAUAAAAUCUUUAAUUUAUACUACAUUAAU